rnacentral:tmRNA from 1 species
CUAUAUCGGCCCUGCCGGUUUCGAUCGGCUAUGACGAUAAAGUGUACCGUAUAAUAGGCGCAGCGGACCCGGGGGCGGUACCCGGCGGCUCCACCAUCACCACCGGCUGCAACAGGCCGGGCUCUGUUGUCGCAGAGGUGUUGAUGGGGCCGAACUAGGAUCGACGUGUGUUGAAAAGCGGUGUUUUCGUCCGGGCUGAGUAACCCGUUAAAGGCUCAAAACCCACAAGUGCCAACGACAACGAAGCACUCGCUCUCGCGGCGUAAUCUGACGGCUUAACGGCCUGAUCUUACAAAGCUAAAGCGCGGUUGAACCCACCGGGCAACAGAAGGGAAUUCAGCGGCUCGGGGAGGGCCG